rnacentral:rRNA from 1 species
AUUGAACGCUGGCGGCAGGCUUAACACAUGCAAGUCGAGCGGAGAGAGGUAGCUUGCUACUGAUCUUAGCGGCGGACGGGUGAGUAAUGCUUAGGAAUCUGCCUAUUAGUGGGGGACAACAUUUCGAAAGGAAUGCUAAUACCGCAUACGUCCUACGGGAGAAAGCAGGGGAUCUUCGGACCUUGCGCUAAUAGAUGAGCAUAAGUCGGAUUAGCUAGUUGGGUGGGUAAAGGCCUACCAAGGCGACGAUCUGUAGCGGGUCUGAGAGGAUGAUCCGCCACACUGGGACUGAGACACGGCCCAGACUCCUACGGGAGGCAGCAGUGGGGAAUAUUGGACAAUGGGCGCAAGCCUGAUCCAGCCAUGCCGCGUGUGUGAAGAAGGCCUUAUGGUUGUAAAGCACUUUAAGCGAGGAGGAGGCUACUUUGGUUAAUACCUAGAGAUAGUGGACGUUACUCGCAGAAUAAGCACCGGCUAACUCUGUGCCAGCAGCCGCGGUAAGAC